AACGAUAUUUUCGUACUAGAGUACCCACACGAGUAAUCAAAUAUAUUAAAAGGAAGUUAUUUAUAAGUUUUGGUAUGUAAUUUUCUAGUGUAUAAAUCUGUUUAAGAUAUAUACACCAGUGUCAUAUGCUUGUAUUAGAUAUGUACACGAUAGAUCACUGCAUUUAAUAGAAGAAAAUUUUAUUAAGGUUAUUCUCAAACAAUAACGAGAAAAACUUAGUCUGCAAUAAAAAGGUCGACUAAGUAUAUAACCCUUUUUU
rnacentral:misc_RNA from 1 species